rnacentral:rRNA from 1 species
AUUGAACGCUGGCGGCAGGCCUAACACAUGCAAGUCGAGCGGAUGAAGGGAGCUUGCUCCUUGAUUCAGCGGCGGACGGGUGAGUAAUGCCUAGGAAUCUGCCUGGUAGUGGGGGAUAACGUUCCGAAAGGAACGCUAAUACCGCAUACGUCCUACGGGAGAAAGCAGGGGACCUUCGGGCCUAGCGCUAUCAGAUGAGCCUAGGUCGGAUUAGCUAGUUGGUGAGGUAAUGGCUCACCAAGGCGACGAUCCGUAACUGGUCUGAGAGGAUGAUCAGUCACACUGGAACUGAGACACGGUCCAGACUCCUACGGGAGGCAGCAGUGGGGAUUAUUGGACAAUGGGCGAAAGCCUGAUCCAGCCAUGCCGCGUGUGUGAAGAAGGUCUUCGGAUUGUAAAGCACUUUAAGUUGGGAGGAAGGGCAGUAAGUUAAUACCUUGCUGUUUUGACGUUACCAACAGAAUAAGCACCGGCUAACUUCGUGCCAGCCGCCGCGGUAAUAC